UGUCCCUCGGCGGUGGCUGCCCCCCCGGCGGGAGCAGGGCCGCUGCCGCCGCGCUCGUUGCCUGCGGGCUGAGCCGGUGCGCGGGGUGGGGGGUAACCCUGCUGCCCAGCGGGGCUCUGUGUGCGCCGUGAGCGUGGCCGGGCGCCGCUGAGGCCUGCCCCAAGCCUUGCUGCUGCUCGGUUUCACAAGGCGUAAGAAACUCUCAAGUACACGUAGAACAAUUCCUUGCGACCGCCCCACGGCUCCUGAUGUUCUUGCCUGGCACCCACUGCCCUUCUGCAACAGCCACUGAAGUUGUACAUGCAUUGAAGACACCGUGAAGCCAAAAUCAGCCCGUGGCCAGGAGAGUGAUGUGGAGUUGAUCUUACGCAAGCGGUGUGUGGUUACACAAGUUUUGUGUACAAGCUCUACGUCUGUAACAGCAAAACUGUGCCACGUUACCUUUGUAGGAAGCCUAGAAAAGGAUGUGUAGCAUCUCUGAACUGCCAACUGGAGCCUCAGCCACGUACCUGCACCUUCCUUAACGGUGAUAAUUAUACCAUAUUAUCUGCGUCUUGUUUCUGGAACAGCUUCUUAAUUAAAUAAGCCGGUUUAUGUGCACACCAGGAAUUGGCAAGUCCCUUUUUUGUUUCAGUAGCUAAACUUGCUGCUUUCUCAGUGCUCCAGAGUUUCACUUGCACCAGCAGUGGCAGUCCCCUAGGCUGGACUUUAGGUGAAAACAUUGCAUCGGUUUAAACAAGGCUGUGGUUCAAUAUAUACAUUUUCAGCAGUAAAACUAGUUCAGGAAGUUCCCAUCCCCGCACCACAUGCUGGGGAGCUGGACCACAGCACACAGUUCCAUAACCAGUUUUAUUGGCACACCUGAAGAAGUGUUUUGUGGCAGUGCAAGGAGACGCAUUGACUGGAAUUGCUUCCGAAUCUAGUACUGCCACCUCAUUUCAACAGAUGUAGUUAAAUACUGCAAAUCCCUUCACAGAAACAUUUCAGAAUUUGAAAAUCAAGGGACCUCCCUGGCCAUGCUGGCAGAUUUACCUGCUCUCAUUUUUGCCCCAAACUGGAGUGCUCUCUCAACCUGAUGGAUAAAUAGAUCUAAACUCCUGGAGUUAUUUUUUUUCUUAAUGUAGAAAACCAAAGAACUUUACAUCUAUUUUGCUAAAGUAGCACAACGCCUUACUAGCUGCUAGUGACACUUGCCAUGGCUUAUUUUGGUUGUGUAUGGUCUCUUCAGAGACUUCUGUGCAAAAGUAGUAUUGCAUAUCUACUCCAAACAUGGGCAUCAUCACGCCUACAAUUGUGCCAGAGCAUCGCAGUCCCAGUCAGACGGCUUCUCUCCUGGAACAGCCUGGAACAGUAUUGCAACCAGGUCAGCUAGGAGUAGUUUCAGUAACUGGCAGGGGAAUUCCAGCCCUGCGUUUUUAUCUGCAGUGAUUUCCUCGCUGCUGGUAACAGCUAUGGCUUUGGAUGUGAGAAGAAUUGACUUUGCAGGAUUUAAUUCAGAUGGCUCUAAAUCCAACGUCACUGAUUUCAGCCCAUGGCUGGGCUUACAAGUCAUUAGCAUUUCUCUGCUGCAAGGUAAAGCGGCCAUGUUUGAAUGUCACACCCAGUUACAUGAUUUCAGGGAAUGAUUUGGCUAUCAAUGAAGAGUUAUUUAUUGGCUGAUGAAAGUGGAGAACACAGAAUUUGGUUAGCAGCAGCAAUUAUCUUAGGGAGAUUAAAAAAAAAAAACAGUUGGUGGUAACCAUUAACGCAUUGCAACAAAAUGAUACAGCUCUGCUAAUUCUCCCAUUCCAUUUGUAAAAAGUUGAUAUUCUGAAAGAAAACAUGAGCACUGAUGGGGAAGAGUGAUACAGGUGGGAGACCUGGCAUGAACCAAAGGUCUGUGCAGUAAAGGAUAACAAAGUUGCAGGUGGUAUUGGGGUGAAUUGAAGACACUCCUAUGGAGAAAUAAAGCAGGGUGGGAGACACAGAACUCGCAGGAAAAACCUGGAGACAAUGAGAUAUGCAAAGUCACAGGUUUGUUCAAAAUAAACUGGAAAGAAUGGGUCAGUGGGUGAGAGGAGGAAGCUUCAGGAACAUGGAGGAGGUAAGAGGGCACGCAGGUCUCUUGCCAUGGUUGGGGGGUGGGUGAUGGUAAGACCAGCUUCUUAGCAUAAAGGAAGGUGCGAGUAGUUUCAGAAAUGUCCUGAAAGUGGCACAAAAGGAUGUGUGGUGGGAAACCAGAACUAAUACAAAAAGGACUGAGAAACAGUUACACUAAAGUUGGCAAUGGGGCUGGAAAUUAGGCAGAUGGACAGCAGGCAGGAAACAAGGAAUACCAGCGGAGAGAAAUACGGCAACAAGGUGCUGGGAGGAGCCUUGAGAGGUCAUCAUGCAACAAAGCGCCCUAGUUAGUACAUUCCUGCAGGUAACAACACUGAUGUCAUCCAGAAGGUGAGAUUUCAUGCAAAGACUAUGCUUAACUAUGCCCUGGGAUAACAAACGGCCAGGGAGAAGCAACCGGAAUGGGAGUACGCAAACACCAGGAAACCUGGGCAACACAACACAGGAACCUGAACAACUGGUGCAUGUUGUCAGACCAGAUACUACAGGCAUGAAAGAAAGAGGGUGGAAUGGGAACGGUGACUGGAAAACAGGCGUUUUAGGGAAUGUAUUGCCCAAGAAAGAGAAAAAUAAAAGGUAAUGGCACUACAG